GGUCAUUUAGAAUGUUUAUUGCUCUCUGUUUUGCUGAAGUAGUUUCUUCUAAUCUGAAUAUUUCUAAUGCUAUUGAGAAAAAUUCCCUGUCUCUUGCAGCAGGAAAUACAGAUUUCUUUGUUUCCCUCCUCUGUCCCCCAGACACCACCAACCACCACGAAAUCUGUAUUUCCUGCUCCAGCAAUUCAUCUAAAAAGUGGAUUGGACCGCGUCAUUUCCAGGCUUAGAAUCUUUAAAAUUCCUUCCCUAUCACUUUUCCAGAUACCAUCCAAGUUCCUUGGCAUCACAUUCAUGAUCCUCCUCAAUCUGGUCCCUACUUUCCUAUGCAGUCUCAUCUCCUGACGCUUACUUUAUCUUGCUCUCUGUGUAUGAAAUUAUUCACUGUUCCCUGCUCCCUCACACUGUGAAGGCCUUUUGGUAUUUUCAACUCCAUCAUCGCUAUCGUCAUAUUUACAUUGUAUUGUUGUCAUUUGUUUAUACAUCUCUCUUCCAUGAUGAGAGUGGAUCUUGAAGGCAGAAUUCUGCAUCAUUUAACUUUGUAUUCUACCCGCAUGUAACACUGCCUGGCACAUAGUACACACUCCCCCAAAUGUUUGUCAAAUAAAUAAAUAAAUAAAUAAAUAAAUAAGGGAUUA
rnacentral:lncRNA from 1 species